AGCAGAGCACAACCACAGAACUCUUAAUAUGUUUAGGAAAAGCAAGCAGGAUAAGAACAUAGAACAGUACAGGCCCUUCAGCCCAUGAUGUUGUGCCGACCAUUGAUCCACAUGUAAGCCCCUCUGGUCCGCGUCACUUCUGCCUCUGCUCCCGCUCCUACUGUGGAGGAAAAACACCGCUGGCCACUACCAAUGCUCCAGGCCUCUUGGGGUUCUCCUACAAUUUCGAUUUUUGUUUCAUUCAGUGAGCUGAUCAACAUGCUAUUAUCUGCGAUGGAUAGUUUGCCCCCGAAUGUGAAGCGAGACCAGCCGUGGAAUGGACCUCGUUACUGGGCGCAUUACAUGCCCAGGAAAGACCUGUCGGUCUCCACCAGUCUGUACGUCGACUGGCGCCUCAGAUCUCAACCUCUUGAUGUCCAUCUGCCCGUUACAGUUACCUAAAUGUUGUCAGAUGUUCAUCUAGACCACAAUCACCUGAUGAAGGAGUGUCGCUCCGAAAGCUAGUGUGCUUCCAAUUAAACCUGUUGGACUAUAACCUGGUGUUGUAUGAUUUUUAACUUUGUACACCCCAGUCCAACACCGGCAUCUCCAAAUCAUCAAGACUCACAGCUUUUUGCUGCAAAAAUGGCAGUUAACAGAAAAUUCCGCCCAAAUUCUGCG